UCGAGGAUCUUCGGCAAUGGGCGCAAGCCUGACCGAGCGACGCCGCGUGUGCGAUGAAGGCCUUCGGGUUGUAAAGCACUGUCGAGGGGGAGGAAGCCGCAAGGUUGACCUAUCCCUGGAGGAAGGACGGGCUAAGUUCGUGCCAGCAGCCGCGGUAAGACGAACCGUCCUAACGUUGUUCGGAAUCACUGGGCUUAAAGGGCGCGUAGGCGGGUCACCAAGUCCGGGGUGAAAUCUUUCGGCUUAACCGGAAAAUAGCCUUGGAUACUGGCGACCUCGAGGGAGGUAGGGGCCUGUGGAACUUCUGGUGGAGCGGUGAAAUGCGUUGAUAUCAGAAGGAACGCCGGUGGCGAAAGCGACGGGCUGGACCUUUACUGACGCUGAGGCGCGAAAGCUAGGGGAGCAAACGGGAUUAGAUACCCCUGUAGUCC
rnacentral:rRNA from 1 species